rnacentral:rRNA from 1 species
GAUGAACGCUGGCGGCGUGCUUAACACAUGCAAGUUGAACGAAGUGGCGGAUGGGUGAGUAACACGUGAGGAACCUGCCUUUCACAGGGGAAUAACACUGGGAAACCAGUGCUAAUACCGCAUAGUGAAAGAUGGCCUAGCGCAUGAUUAGCUAGUAGGUGCGGUAACGGCUCACCUAGGUGGUGAGCUGUAGCCAGACGGAAGGUUGAUCGGCCGCAGUGGGACUGAGACACGGCCCAGGCACCUACGGGAGGCAGCAGGGAGGAAUAUUGGGCAAUGGCGCAGGCCUGACCCAGCACCGCGGCGUGAAGGAAGACGGUCUUCGGAUUGUAGACUUCUUUAGACAGGGACGCGGUACCUGUAGAAUAAGCCACGGCUAACUACGUGCCAGCAGCCGCGGUAAUUC